CUGGAAGCAUCAGUGUAUUCUGAAGACUCCAGUAAUCCAUUACAAUGACUUCUCAAUCCAUAGCUUUUGUCGCACUAUUGUGCUUUGCCAUCCUCAGUUUGGCACUCGUGACUUUCGUCGAAGCUGACUGUCGCUGGACAGGAUGCCACGUUCAUUCGGCAGGAGACUGGUGUAACGUCUUGGGACCCGGAUACAAAAUUAAGAAAUGGCAACGCUGCAACGGAAUUUUUGGCAAACAAGAGUACUGCUGUAACUGAGACUGCGUUCAAAUGUACUUCUUCGGUAAACGAAGAUACUGCUGCCUGAAGUAAGAUUUCUUUUCAAUAUUGGGAAUAGGAUGGGAUUUUUGACAAACUUAAGCACAGCUGUUACUGAAGUAAAAUUUAAUUUCAAGACUUUUAAAAUAUUUGUACGAAUAAUUUGAUGAUAUAAUAAAACUAUUUUACUGCAACAAUA